GCAAACUUGGUCAUUUAGAGGAAGUAAAAGUCGUAACAAGGUCUCCGUUGGUGAACCAGCGGAGGGAUCAUUACCGAGUUUACAACUCCCAAACCCAUGUGAAUCUUACCUUUACGUUGCUUCGGCCGGACUGCCCCGGGCGCCUUUGGUGCCCCGGAUUCAGGCGCCGGCCGGGGAAGCCAAACUCUUGUUUUAUUAGUAUCUUCUCUGAGUGGAUUACACAAAUAAUCAAAACUUUCAACAACGGAUCUCUUGGUUCUGGCAUCGAUGAAGAACGCAGC
rnacentral:misc_RNA from 1 species